rnacentral:rRNA from 1 species
AGCGAACGCUGGCGGCAGGCUUAACACAUGCAUGUCGAGCGGACCUUUCGGGGUCAGCGGCGGACGGGUGAGUAACGCGUGGGAACGUGCCUUCCGGUUCGGAAUAACCCUGGGAAACUAGGGCUAAUACCGGAUACGCCCUUAUGGGGAAAGGUUUACUGCCGGAAGAUCGGCCCGCGUCUGAUUAGCUAGUUGGUGGGGUAACGGCCUACCAAGGCGACGAUCAGUAGCUGGUCUGAGAGGAUGAUCAGCCACACUGGGACUGAGACACGGCCCAGACUCCUACGGGAGGCAGCAGGGGGGAAUAUUGGACAAUGGGCGCAAGCCUGAUCCAGCCAUGCCGCGUGAGUGAUGAAGGCCUUAGGGUUGUAAAGCUCUUUUAUCCGGGACGAUAAUGACGGUACCGGAGGAAUAAGCCCCGGCUAACUUCGUG